GUCUGGGAGGCUGGCACUGUUUUCUCAUUUUAUAGAUGAGAGAACUGAGGCACAGAGAGGUUAUGCACCCAGCUGAGAGCCACACAGCCAGGCCAUCAGGCUUCAACCGCGGGAUGGGAGCUGCCUCACAGUCCACCUUGUCUUCUGCCAGCCCCUCUCCUGGCCACACACCAGCCCCAACCACAAGUCCCACCAGAUGCUCCCGGGUCACCGAGAUGAAGGGAAACCCUGGUUCCGAAGCCCAGGGGCACCUAGAGCUAACACAGAGUUUUGUGGCCACUUGACACACCAGGCAACACAGGUGCAAGAUAAGAAACACCUCCAGGGCAUGCGUUCUGGUCACGGCUAGACCCAGGGCCCUGGCUCCUUGGAUGGGGCUCCACCGUGGCCUCCACACAGCUAGGCCAUCAGAAUGUAGCGAUGACCCCCAGUAACUCAGACCUGGUUUCUAAACAGGGUCCCACAGAGAACAGGUAAGGCACUGUUCACGCACUUCCAACUGCGUUUCAGAACCACCCCAUGAAGCAACCACCCCACAGCCACCUGGGUCUCUGCUGCACCCCAGGCCCAAGCCUGCUGGUGGCUAAGCAGGUUGAGGCCAAGCCUCUCCAAGCAUGGGUGGACAGGCUUCAGGGUGGCACUUACGCAGGUGGAUGAGGGGAGAGCCUGGUCCUCUCAGGAUGUCCCUGCAGACAGGCUGGACACAGCUGGGGACAGGAGGAUGCUGAGGUGAUUCUGGUCUCAAAAACCCCCUCUCUAGCUGAGGGAAAGAUUUGCCAGACCUCAAGAUUCGCACAUAUUAAAUCCCCAAGGAAAGUUC